UUUUUCAACAAUAUAAAAGUAAGACACAGUUACUGACAUAAUCCAUGGGAUUGCUCUUUUCCCCUGAGGCCCACAGUGGAAUGGGCGAGGGGGCCCUAAUUUGCUUCUUCUCUCUGGUCCCACUCUGAUCCUACUGUUACUUCCACCAGCGAACGUGGAGACCCCUGUUACACCAUCUUUGCCAUAUUAUCUUGCAGAAAGUCUUGUGACACCAAUUACAAGGCACUAUGAGAGAGGUUGCCUCGGUUAUUUCUAUUUACAAUCUUCUUCCUCUUACCACAAAAAAUUUAUUGUCUACAGUGGUCUCCAAAUCAGUGUUCUUGAAUGCUCCAUUGUGCUCUUGAUCCAUAUAAGAGUUUUUCCUUAAGAAGUUGUGUGUAUGCACAUGGCAGCAGGGGGUGAGCAGCUAAUCAUUGAUGAUCCCGAGAUGUGACUUCCUUCUACCUUUCUGGGUCCUGAUUUUCCUUGCCCUUUAAAAAUGUCAAAUGUCUCUCAUCUUGUCAUCAUAUAGCCACUUCAUAUGAGAAAAAAAAGCAGAAAACAACUAGCCAACCAACAAGAACAAAAACAUUCAGAAGAAGAGGAGCAUGACUCAGCCCUGAUUUCGGAAGCUUUUAUUCUGCCGGGCAUUGGCAGCGUCUCAACGGCAUCGGCCUGGGCUCUGAAAAGAUCAUUGUGCGGGGCCUGGCCUCGGGCCCCGGGCGGACAGAGCGCUAGUGUGAGACACCUUGAGCGGGCCUCUAUGCGCGCGCGGCCAGCCCAAGGCCUGGUGGACUUCUCCAUGGACUGGCCAGCACAGCCACA